rnacentral:rRNA from 1 species
AUGGCAUCCCGGCUGGAGCUGCUCAUGUCGCAGGGGAUGCGACUGUGGAGCUAUCUCACCUCCUCAUCCGCCUCUGCAGCAGGAACCGGAGUUGCUCUUGCAUCCUCCGUUACUCUUGCCAGUUCCAGAAGCCAACCUCCGCACCGGAACCGUGACCCCCCAAGAAACAGGGCAAACGCGCCCGGGAGGGCCCCCAAGAAACAGUUUGCAUGCAGAGGAUUCUCUAAUUCUCUGACGCGCAGCCGCUUGAAUAAAACUCAUGCUCAAACUCGUAUAUCCGCCUGCCGCUCCUUCACCCAGCUCUCCCAACACAAGGGAAGGGCAUCUCCACGAGCGCCCGCGCCCACAACCUGCUCGUCCAGAAGAGAACGCCGGCAGGCUGGCCGGCCACCCCGCUAUCGCCCACGCCCUCGAGCAGCGUCAGCGCGGCGACCCUCCCUUACCGAGCAAGUGUUGGCAUUCCUUUUGGCCGCGGCGAGGUCGAGCGUGGAUGGCACGGUGAGGGCGCCUCUGAGGACUUUGGAUGGUGCCGGUGGCCCGUGCCUAUCGCUGGUGAAGGCGUUGGCCUCCAUCAGCAAGUCCGACGCGGCCGUGUGGGUGAUCGAGGAGGGCCAGCUACUAAAACGUCAUGUUGGCGGGGAGCUACUACGCAAUGCCAACUCCUGGAACUACCUCCUCGGUGGGCUGCUCAAGAAUGGCAGAGCCACCGAAGCGUGCGACCUCCUUGAGGCCAUGGAGAGGUCUUAA